GGAACCACUGCUACUGCGCACAGAUGUUUUUCUCAAUCCAGGUGGGAAGAGCAGCACCUAUUGUAGGCAAGCGCAUUGUGAUAUCAUCGGAGCAACAACAAUUCAUAUGAAACUUAGCCAAGAAAAAUUUAAAGCCGCGACCUCCAUUUUCCUAAGCUUUGCACUGGCUAUUAACGGACGAUGUACUUUUCAAGAUUUGUCUUGCUGAUUACUAUGGCACUAGGAAUUGACGGCGUCACUCUCCAAGACCUUAUGAGUGCAACGUUUCUCUUCUACUAAGCCAAGACGAGGCGAUGGGCCGUCUUUCACUCAAGGCGCCGUUCCGUUUCAAGAGCAGUACUCCACGUUUUCACCGCCGAAGAUCGCCUUUAAAUUGUGCUCUCUACUCGACUGAAGUGCACCAACCGAAAAGUGCGUUUGUUAUGGAGGCUGUUCUUAAAUAUGCUUAGCAAAACGCCAAUUCUUUAAGACAAAUGCGUGUUUCGGUUAAUUUGUCUUGCUAAUCAAACGGCUAGAUCAGCUAACCAACGGGCACUUUAGCUCGGCAACGCUGUCACUGUGCACGUCCGACUGAUAAAUCAAGCGGGAGUUGUGUCUGAGGUCUGGCAACAAUUGGACUCCAGCUGAGAGCAUAACGCAUGGCUAAGAAAUAAGAACAGUUUCGCCGACACUAGUCUGCUGCUCUUUCUUUUCAUGUGCUCCACUGGUAGUUCAUGUUGCUGUUGAUAAUCGUGGUUGUUAUGGGCGAUUUUGUCCGUGUGUGUAUUGCGACCGAGUCGGAUCGACUUCGAAGGAAGCAGCAGAUGGAACAGCGAAUGGCUAGCUUUGUUUGCACUCAAGGCCGAGUGCCGCUGAAUGUUUGAUGAAGGCAACAACAGGACAUGAAAUAUGGGUGAGUGAGCCAUUUUUGCAUGCAAGCACAUUAUGUUGAUGCGGUUUUCCGGAAGUUGUCUCGGCACAGCAGAUAAAUCGUGUCCGAUGUGUCCAAAUAUUGUUGGCUCCCGUUACUUAUGCUGCGGGCAUUAGCAUCUGAAGUAUAUUGUUCGAGGCAGCAUAAGCUUGUGCGAAACAGUUUUCUUUCUUUUUUUGUUUGGCUAAUAGGAGCUUGUGCGAGGUUCGGCGCGACAGUCUGUUUUUGGUUCCACUUUUUUAAAAUAGAAAUGCGGAAGGUACCCAGCAGCGCCUGUGUCAAAUGGUCAGUCCAGAACUGCGCAUGAAAUCUUUCGGUAGAGGAGAAGCAGUUAUAGUAAACAUGCGGCUGAAUGCAUAUGGUUGAGUGCGUAGCUCCGGCAGAUUCAAGAAAGCGUUUUCGAGUCCUGUACUUUCUUUUAGAAGCCUUGGUGGUUACUCUCUUUGUUCAAAUUGUAGCACAUGUUAUUCAGCCAGCAUCGGUGCCUCCAUUUCCAGUGUUUCCUUACUUCACAUAUGCACUACACAAUCCGUUAGUAUUAACCUGUCAAUAGCUCAUUGCCAGCAUUACGGUUUUUUCGCCUUACUUUUUUCAAUGUGCCAAGUGGUAUCAUUUGAUGCACGUUCCAUAAUCGACUUUUGUGUUCACGCAAUGGCCACGUUCUUUUAGUGGUGCUAUGUCUUUUCAUUUCCGUUGCUUGGGCACACUGAAUUUACUUAGUGUGCGGACGUGCUGUGUACGCAAAUGUUUUGGUGUUCUGCGCAGGAUGUGUGCUUUGGAAGGACCAGUUGAAGAAAAAAAAUCUACGUCUGUGCUACACACUGAGGCUUGUGGCAGACCUUGAAAGCAUCGAUAGAUACGGUGCCUACCUGUUCGAAUUGCACCAGCAGGGUUCCCUCAAAGAACCUAGGUUCUGACGUACUUGACUAACCUACCGGGCUCUUCAUACUUUUGAGAAAGUUUGGGUCCGUUAUCGGAGUUACGACAGACGAACUUUGGGCCACCAACACACAUGCCUGUAUAAUGAAGUACGCUACCAGGGACACCAAUCUUAUUUAUUCGCCCAGCAUUACGAGGUUGACUGGAAGUGGAAAAGUGAGCAGAUCUAUGCAAGAUUAUUUCAAGGCAGAGGCGGCAAAGCAAUCAUGCGACUGAGCCAGAGACCAGGAGGUUAUGGCGUUGAUCACACCCUAGUUUUUUGGAAUCACAUAGAGCACUGUUUUGUGUUCAACCGAACAUUCGAAGGCCAGCCACAGUGCGAGAUGUGGGUCUGGGGUGACCACGUUCGGAAACACGUGCCUCAGUGUCAGCUAGCAUACAAGCGCCAUUGCAACACACAAUACCCUGUUUACACACAUCGUUGUGGACCACCUUGAAGAAAAAAAAAAUACGAUUACGGUUUUUGGAUAUAGAGGUGCCGAGUUGAACUUAAUAUCUGAUGAAUGUAAAAUCGCAUUGUGUAAGAUGAUAUUAAAAAGUAUAUUGGCUUUACA
rnacentral:misc_RNA from 1 species